GCAAAAGGCGAUACGUAGUGUAAAUUGCAAAUUUCCGUAAAUCAUCAAUUCUUUGAACGCAUAUGGCGCCGGAGGCCUCGGCCGAGGCCAUGUCUGCCUGAGCGUC
rnacentral:rRNA from 1 species